rnacentral:rRNA from 1 species
AGAGUUUGAUUAUGGCUCAGGAUGAACGCUAGCGAUAGGCCUAACACAUGCAAGUCGAGGGGCAGCACAUGAAGUAGCAAUACGGAUGGUGGCGACCGGCGCACGGGUGAGUAACGCGUAUGCAACCUGCCUACAACAGGGGAAUAACCCGUUGAAAGACGGACUAAUACCCCAUAACACAGGGAUCCCGCAUGGGAAUAUUUGUUAAAGAUUUAUCGGUUGUAGAUGGGCAUGCGUUCCAUUAGCUUGUUGGUGAGGUAACGGCUCACCAAGGCAACGAUGGAUAGGGGAACUGAGAGGUUUAUCCCCCACACUGGUACUGAGACACGGACCAGACUCCUACGGGAGGCAGCAGUGAGGAAUAUUGGUCAAUGGACGCAAGUCUGAACCAGCCACGUCGCGUGGAGGAAGACGGCCCUACGGGUUGUAAACUUCUUUUGUAAGGGAAUAAAGUGCAGUACGUGUACUGUUUUGCAUGUACCUUACGAAUAAGGAUCGGCUAACUCCGUGCCAGCAGCCGCGGUAAUACGGAGGAUCCGAGCGUUAUCCGGAUUUAUUGGGUUUAAAGGGUGCGCAGGCGGGAGAUUAAGUCGGCGGUGAAAUUUUGCAGCUCAACUGUAAAAGUGCCUUCGAAACUGGUUUUCUUGAGUGUGGAUGAAGUAGGCGGAAUUUGUGGUGUAGCGGUGAAAUGCAUAGAUAUCACGAGGAACUCCGAUUGCGCAGGCAGCUUACUAAACCAUAACUGACGCUCAGGCACGAAGGCGUGGGGAUCAAACAGGAUUAGAUACCCUGGUAGUC